rnacentral:rRNA from 1 species
UACGGAGGGGGUUAGCGUUGUUCGGAAUGACUGGGCGUAAAGCGCGCGUAGGCGGAUCAGGAAGUUGGGGGUGAAAUCCCGGGGCUCAACCCCGGAAUGGCCUUCAAAACUCCUGGUCUUGAGUUCGAGAGAGGUGAGUGGAGUUCCGAGUGUAGAGGUGAAAUUCGUAGAUAUUCGGAGGAACACCAGUGGCGAAGGCGGCUCACUGGCUCGACACUGACGCUGAGGUGCGAAAGCGUGGGGAGCAAACAGG